UCAAAUUAUAGAAAUGUUUUUAUUUUAAAAUAUACAUAAGUUUAGUGAUACUGAAGAAAUUACACUACAGUAUUACACUCCAACUCUAAGACUAGUUAGUUUAUAUACACAACUGAUUAUUCACUAUACAUACCCUUGGAGAAUUGGUAAUAUAUGUACCAUUUUUAAUGAAAACAUAAGUGAGCAAGCAAAACACAUUUACUUUAUUUA